UCCCCUCUUAGGUCUCUAACUCCUCUCUUAGGCCUCUAACUCCCCUCUUAGGUCACUAACUCCCCUCUUAGGCCACUAACUCCCCUCUUAGGCCUCUAACUCCCCUCUUAGGCCUCUAACUCCCCUCUUAGGCCUCUAACUCCCCUCUUAGGCCACUAACUCCCCUCUUAGGCCUCUAACUCCCCUCUUAGGCCACUAACUCCCCUCUUAGGUCUCUAACUCCCCUCUUAGGCCUCUAACUCCCCUCUUAGGCCUCUAACUCCCCUCUUAGGCCACUAACUCCCCUCUUAGGCCUCUAACUCCUCUCUUAGGCCACUAACUCCCCUCUUAGGCCACUAACUCCCCUCUUAGGCCACUAACUCCCCUCUUAGGCCACUAACUCCCCUCUUCGGCCUCUAACUCCCCUCUUCGGCCUCUAACUC